GACUCCUACGGGAGGCAGCAGUAGGGAAUAUUCGGCAAUAGACGGAAGUCUGAUGGAGCAACGCCGCGUGAGUGAUGAAGGAGUUCGUAUGGUAAUAAUACAUUUUUAGGGAGGAGGAGGUUCCUUUAAAAUAUGGCUAGAGAUAGACGGGUGCCUAUCCAGAAAGACGCGCGUAUAUACUUUCCAGCAGCACGCGGUAAUACGUAGAUGGCAAGCGUUGUCCGGAAUUAUUGGGCGUAAAGGGCUCGCAGGCGGUUUCUUAAGUCUGAUGUGAAAGCUCCCGGCUCAACCGGGGAGGGUCAUUGGAAACUGGGGAACUUGAGUGCAGAAGAGGAGAGUGGAAUUCCACGUGUAGCGGUGAAAUGCGUAGAGAUGUGGAGGAACACCAGUGGCGAAGGCGACUCUCUGGUCUGUAACUGACGCUGAGAGCGAA
rnacentral:rRNA from 2 species